GUCAGGAUGGCCUAGCGGUCAAAGGCGCCAGACUCAAGCUCCGAAUGGAGGCGUGGGUUCGAAUCCCACUUCUGACA